rnacentral:rRNA from 1 species
AAUCUAUGACGCUGUGGCAUGGCAACUGUGCAGCAUUGCAAAAUGCUGUCGUUGCUUGUCACCUUGUCAUUUUUGGUCAGACCUUGCGUGACAUUGAGUUGUGGCGCAAGGAUGUUGGCCAUCUUUUACUGUGAGGAAAUUAGAGUGUUCAAAGCAGGCAGUAUUGCCAGUCAAGUGAAUAUGUUAGCAUGGAAUAAUAUGAUACGAUUUUGUUUCAAUUUUAUUGGUUUGUGUUGCAAAAUAAUGAUUGAUAGGGACAAUUGGGGGUAUUUGUAUUCCAGAGUCAGAGGUGAAAUUCUUGGAUUUUUGGAAGACAAGCUACUGCGAAAGCAUC